AUACUCCUGACUGACCGAUAGUGAACCAGUACCGUGAGGGAAAGGCGAAAAGAACCCCGGCGAGGGGAGUGAAAAAGAACCUGAAACCGUGUACGUACAAGCAGUGGGAGCCCCACCACUAAGCCAGUGGUGAACUCCACAUACGCAUCCUUUGCUGAGGAUACGGUUAACGGAGCGAAAGCGACGUUCAACCUCAAAAGAAGCAGAGGGGGCUUAGUGGUGGGGUGACUGCGUACCUUUUGUAUAAUGGGUCAGCGACUUAUAUUCUGUAGCAAGGUUAACCGUAUAGGGGAGCCGGAGGGAAACCGAGUCUUAACCGGGCGUUAAGUUGCAGG
rnacentral:rRNA from 1 species